CAGCUUUGAGCUAACUAACGUCAAUGGAAACAUGACAGCUGACCCAACCCACACAUCCGUGCGAUAGUAAACAUAAGUGCAUUGCUAGGUUAGCAAGUUCGCGAGCCACCUGAAAGGUUUAUUGCUAAGUAUGGCGGCUAGCCUACCAAGCUAAAGCAUAUUUUCUUCCGUGUUUUCAAAAACAGAUGUGCGCCAUUUUGUUGGAGAUCCCUGGACAAACAUUUUACCCACUGGCGUUGUUAAUGCAGAGCAAAAAUAAUCUCUACAAUAUCAUAUUUGAACAUGGCCGUCCGGUUUCCCCAGACUCGGGCAGGAUUCAAUCGGGAGUUUGUGCUAGCUGGGCGGGCCGCUGAGGCGCAGGGAGGGAGGGGCCGAGUCUUUCGAAGCUCCACUGAUAAUCGCUACAGCCCCCAGCUCCGCCAGCACCAAGGCCGCCGUCAGCACUCACGUCACAGCCCGAAAGUCGUAGGAAAAUGCGGAAGAAGUCUGGACACCCAUCGACUGGUAGUUAUAGACAGGCCACGAUCAGGGGCACAGCAAUUGUGCUCCACUAUGGAGAUUUUACAUCGCGGAUGUUUUCUUUGCAUACCCUUUGAAAGCCUGGUAUAGUGAGC